rnacentral:rRNA from 1 species
GACGAACGCUGGCGGCGUGCUUAACACAUGCAAGUCGAACGGAAAGGCCUUUUAGGAGGUCCUCGAGUGGCGAACGGGUGAGUAACACGUGGGUGAUCUGCCCUGCACUCUGGGAUAAGCCUGGGAAACUGGGUCUAAUACCGGAUAGGACCGCACUUUAGUGUGUGUGGUGGAAAGUUUUUUCGGUGUAGGAUGAGCCCGCGGCCUAUCAGCUUGAUGGUGGGGUAAUGGCCUACCAAGGCGGCGACGGGUAGCCGGACUGAGAGGUUGGUCGGCCACAUUGGGACUGAGAUACGGCCCAGACUCCUACGGGAGGCAGCAGUGGGGAAUAUUGCACAAUGGGCGCAAGCCUGAUGCAGCGACGCCGCGUGGGGGAUGACGGCCUUCGGGUUGUAAACUCCUUUCGCCAGGGACGAAGCGUUUUGUGACGGUACCUGGAGAAGAAGCACCGGCUAACUACGUG